rnacentral:rRNA from 1 species
GAUGAACGCUGGCGGCGUGCCUAAUACAUGCAAGUCGAGCGAACAGACGAGGAGCUUGCUCCUCUGACGUUAGCGGCGGACGGGUGAGUAACACGUGGAUAACCUACCUAUAAGACUGGGAUAACUUCGGGAAACCGGAGCUAAUACCGGAUAAUAUAUUGAACCGCAUGGUUCAAUAGUGAAAGACGGUUUUGCUGUCACUUAUAGAUGGAUCCGCGCCGCAUUAGCUAGUUGGUAAGGUAACGGCUUACCAAGGCGACGAUGCGUAGCCGACCUGAGAGGGUGAUCGGCCACACUGGAACUGAGACACGGUCCAGACUCCUACGGGAGGCAGCAGUAGGGAAUCUUCCGCAAUGGGCGAAAGCCUGACGGAGCAACGCCGCGUGAGUGAUGAAGGUCUUCGGAUCGUAAAACUCUGUUAUUAGGGAAGAACAAAUGUGGAAGUAACUAUGCACGUCUUGACGGUACCUAAGCAGAAAGCCACGGCUAACUACGUG